rnacentral:rRNA from 1 species
AAAUUGAAGAGUUUGAUCAUGGCUCAGAUUGAACGCUGGCGGCAGGCCUAACACAUGCAAGUCGAACGGUAACAGGAAGCAGCUUGCUGCUUCGCUGACGAGUGGCGGACGGGUGAGUAAUGUCUGGGAAACUGCCUGAUGGAGGGGGAUAACUACUGGAAACGGUGGCUAAUACCGCAUAACGUCGCAGGACCAAAGAGGGGGACCUUCGGGCCUCUUGCCAUCAGAUGUGCCCAGAUGGGAUUAGCUUGUUGGUGAGGUAACGGCUCACCAAGGCGACGAUCCCUAGCUGGUCUGAGAGGAUGACCAGCCACACUGGAACUGAGACACGGUCCAGACUCCUACGGGAGGCAGCAGUGGGGAAUAUUGCACAAUGGGCGCAAGCCUGAUGCAGCCAUGCCGCGUGUAUGAAGAAGGCCUUCGGGUUGUAAAGUACUUUCAGCGGGGAGGAAGGUGUUGUGGUUAAUAACCACAGCAAUUGACGUUACCCGCAGAAGAAGCACCGGCUAACUCCGUGCCAGCAGCCGCGGUAAUACGGAGGGUGCAAGCGUUAAUCGGAAUUACUGGGCGUAAAGCGCACGCAGGCGGUCUGUCAAGUCGGAUGUGAAAUCCCCGGGCUCAACCUGGGAACUGCAUUCGAAA